rnacentral:rRNA from 1 species
CAAGCGUUGUCCGGAUUUAUUGGGCGUAAAGAGCGUGUAGGCGGCCAGAUAGGUCAGCUGUGAAAACUCGAGGCUCAACCUCGAGAUGUCGGCUGAAACCAUCUGGCUAGAGUCCGGAAGAGGAGAAUGGAAUUCCCGGUGUAGCGGUGAAAUGCGCAGAUAUCGGGAAGAACACCCGUGGCGAAGGCGGUUCUCUGGGACGGUACUGACGCUGAGACGCGAAAGCGUGGGGAGCGAACAGG